rnacentral:rRNA from 1 species
UACGAGAGGCGCAAACGUUAUUCGGAAUUACUGGGCUUAAAGAGUUCGUAGGCGGCGCAGUAAGUAGGGUGUGAAAGCCCUCGGCUUAACCGAGGAAUUGCGCUCUAAACUACUGUGCUUGAGGGACCUAGAGGUGAGCGGAACUGAUGGUGGAGCGGUGAAAUGCGUUGAUAUCAUCAGGAACACCGGAGGCGAAGGCGGCUCACUGGGGGUCUUCUGACGCUGAGGAACGAAAGCCAGGGGAGCGAACAGG